CACGGCAUAAGGAGGAGGAGAAGGAAUUAGCAGCCCUGAGCCUGGCAAUCCUGGUGGCCUCUCCAAACAUUGUCAGGAAAGUCCAAAGGCAAACGGGAGCUAGGGAAGGCUGGAGCCCCAAGGGGGCAAAGUGCCACCUACCCUGUUUCUUCAUAACUCUUCAGGGUUUUUAGAGGAACAGGGGGGGUAUAUAACCAGCAUAUAACCUGGAAGACAGAGGACGGGGGCCUAGGACUUCACUCUUACACGAAUGGAUUGCCUGUGGGAAAGGCCAACUCUAAGGAACCUGUUUUGGGAGGAGGGGUUAAGGAUUCAAAACUCACAGUAUGUCAGAGGUGAAAGGGACCUUGGAUUGUCGGUCCAGUCCUUCACUUUACAAAUGAAUAAACUGAGGCUCACAGAGGAAGCAACUUGCCCAAGAUCCCUCAGCUGGCGCAGUAUUAAGCACCAGGAACACAAAGAUGAACAAGGCAUAGUGCCCAUCCUUGAAGAUUUACACGCAGCCAGCAAGGGAGCUUCUGGAGUUCUUUCUGCAGGAAUGAGAAGGAGGUUGAAUUCCCCCCUUCUCCCUUCUAAGUGUGACUUCCCACCUCAACUCGACCUAACUUGGACCCUCAGAUCUUGGCUCAACACGACACUCCUUCUGCUGGCCAUGCUUCCUCGCUUUGAGUCCACCAUUGCAGAAGAGUAGGCUGCCCUGAUCGCAGCUGCCACUCCUUCAGUCUGAAGAAGGAAAACGAAAGGAAGGCGUGGGGGAGAUGUAUUCCCAAAAAGAAAAAACUCUCUCCUCCUUGAUGUGUCAUGAAAGAUGCACAGGAUUUAAUGUCAGAAGACACAUACCAGACACGCAACUCUUCACUUAUGGUCUGUGUGAUCCCAGCCCCACUGAGCCUCAGUUUCCUUCCCUGUAAAAACUAAAUACAAAAGCUGUUUCAUUUAGUUGUUGUGAAGAUUAAUUUGAAAAAACAUAUGAACGAUCAUAACAAAGAGGCAAAUACUACACUGAGGCUACUACUGUUCUUUUCUCUUCCUGUUCCCCUCACACCUCUCAAGCGCAGGCAGGCCCGGGCCAAACCUGGGGAAAG
rnacentral:lncRNA from 1 species